GACGAACGCUGGCGGCGUGCCUAAUACAUGCAAGUAGGACGCAGUUGCGAACGGGUGAGUAACGCGUAGGUAACUACCUAUUAGAGGGGGAUAACUAUUGGAAACGAUAGCUAAUACCGCAUACUUGUAGAUUGACCUUCGUUGUAUUAGCUAGUAGGUAGGGUAAUGGCCUACCUAGGCAACGAUACAUAGCCGGCCCUGGAGGGUGGUCGGCCAAACUGGGACUGGGACACGGGCCAGACUCCUACGGGAAGCAGCAGUAGGGAAACUUCGGCAAUGGGGGGAAACCUGGCCGAGCAACGCCGCGUGAGUGAAGAAGGUUUUCGGAUCGUAAAGCUCUGUUGUUAAGGAAGCGGUACUUAAACAGAAAGGGACGGCUAACUACGUGCCAGCAGCCGCGGUAAUUC
rnacentral:rRNA from 1 species